UACGGGGGGGAGCAAGCGUUGUUCGGAUUUACUGGGCGUAAAGGGCGCGUAGGCGGUCAGCACAAGUCAGUUGUGAAAUCUCCGGGCUUAACUCGGAAAGGUCAACUGAUACUGUGCGACUAGAGUGCGGAAGGGGCAACUGGAAUUCUCGGUGUAGCGGUGAAAAUGCGUAGAUAUCGAGAGGAACACCAGUGGCGAAGGCGGAUCUCUGGGCCUUACCUGACGCUGAGGCACGAAGGCCAGGGGAGCAAACGGG
rnacentral:rRNA from 1 species